GAUGAAGAACGUGGCGAAAUGCGAUAAGUAAUGUGAAUUGCAGAAUUCAGUGAAUCAUCGAAUCUUUGAACGCACCUUGCGCCCUUUGGCCAUUCCGAAGGGCAUGCCUGUUUGAGUAUCAUGAACACCUCAACUCUUUAUGGUUUUCCAUGAUGAGCUUGGACUCUGGGGGUUUUGCUGGCUCACAGUCGGCUCCUCUAAAAUGAAUCAGCUUACCAGUGUUUGGUGGGUAUCAUGGGUGUGAUAACUAUCUACGCUUGUGGUUUUUCCACCAGGUAACCUUCAGCAGUGGAGGUUCGCUGGAGCUCAUAGAUGUCUCUCCUCAGUGAGGACAGCCCUUUGAAUGUUUGAUCUCAAAUCAGGUAGGACUACCCGCUGAACUUAAGCAUAUCAAUAAGCGGAGGA
rnacentral:misc_RNA from 1 species